rnacentral:snRNA from 1 species
GGAUGUGAGGGUGGUCUGGUUGUGACACCUGCCAUCCAUUGAUCACCAGAGUGAACUGGGCUGAUGUGGUUGGGUAGAUCUGGGGAAGGGUAUCCCCUUUUUCUUUCGCGGUUCCACAUGUGUUCCUGCAGGUACCGUGGACUCUGUUGAAAAGGACAUUCUUUCUCGAUAAAGAAGACCUUUUCAGUCAAGCAGCUGCACUCUCUUGCUAGGACUUCCAAACGAGCUUUCAAGAGCAGAUCAGGUGAUUAGGAUGUAUUCCCUCCCAUCCCACAGAACUCAAAAAGAUUAUUUUUAAUG